rnacentral:rRNA from 1 species
GGGCGACGGUUGUCCCGGUUUAAGCGUGUAGGUGUGUGUUCCAGGUAAAUCCGGUUCACUUUAACACUGAGGCGUGAUGACGAGGCACUACGGUGCUGAAGUAACAAAUGCCCUGCUUCCAGGAAAAGCCUCUAAGCAUCAGGUAACAUCAAAUCGUACCCCAAACCGACACAGGUGGUCAGGUAGAGAAUACCAAGGCGCUUGAGAGAACUCGGGUGAAGGAACUAGGCAAAAUGGUGCCGUAACUUCGGGAGAAGGCACGCUGACACGUAGGUGAAGUGAUUUACUCACGGAGCUGAAGUCAGUCGAAGAUACCAGCUGGCUGCAACUGUUUAUUAAAAACACAGCACUGUGCAAACACGAAAGUGGACGUAUACGGUGUGACGCCUGCCCGGUGCCGGAAGGUUAAUUGAUGGGGUCAGCGCAAGCGAAGCUCCUGAUCGAAGCCCCGGUAAACGGCGGCCGUAACUAUAACGGUCCUAAGGUAGCGAAAUUCCUUGUCGGGUAAGUUCCGACCUGCACGAAUGGCGUAAUGAUGGCCAGGCUGUCUCCACCCGAGACUCAGUGAAAUUGAACUCGCUGUGAAGAUGCAGUGUACCCGCGGCAAGACGGAAAGACCCCGUGAACCUUUACUAUAGCUUGACACUGAACAUUGAGCCUUGAUGUGUAGGAUAGGUGGGAGGCUUUGAAGUGUGGACGCCAGUCUGCAUGGAGCCGACCUUGAAAUACCACCCUUUAAUGUUUGAUGUUCUAACGUGGACCCGUUACCCGGGUUGCGGACAGUGUCUGGUGGGUAGUUUGACUGGGGCGGUCUCCUCCUAAAGAGUAACGGAGGAGCACGAAGGUUGGCUAAUCCUGGUCGGACAUCAGGAGGUUAGUGCAAUGGCAUAAGCCAGCUUGACUGCGAGCGUGACGGCGCGAGCAGGUGCGAAAGCAGGUCAUAGUGAUCCGGUGGUUCUGAAUGGAAGGGCCAUCGCUCAACGGAUAAAAGGUACUCCGGGGAUAACAGGCUGAUACCGCCCAAGAGUUCAUAUCGACGGCGGUGUUUGGCACCUCGAUGUCGGCUCAUCACAUCCUGGGGCUGAAGUAGGUCCCAAGGGUAUGGCUGUUCGCCAUUUAAAGUGGUACGCGAGCUGGGUUUAGAACGUCGUGAGACAGUUCGGUCCCUAUCUGCCGUGGGCGCUGGAGAACUGAGGGGGGCUGCUCCUAGUACGAGAGGACCGGAGUGGACGCAUCACUGGUGUUCGGGUUGUCAUGCCAAUGGCACUGCCCGGUAGCUAAAUGCGGAAGAGAUAAGUGCUGAAAGCAUCUAAGCACGAAACUUGCCCCGAGAUGAGUUCUCCCUGAGACUUUAGGUCUCCUGAAGGAACGUUGAAGACGACGACGUUGAUAGGCCGGGUGUGUAAGCGCAGCGAUGCGUUGAGCUAACCGGUACUAAUGAACCGUGAGGCUUAACCUU